rnacentral:lncRNA from 1 species
ACUUUUCGGGUAUGUAUAUAUCAAUAUAUGCACGUGAUUCUGUAUAUAUGUAGAUAUUCGAUCAAGUAGUCUCAUCUCAUGCAAUUAAGAACUGCCCAUUAAAUUUAUUAGAGCUUGGUUAUUCAACAAUUAAUAUUAUUAUGGACUACAUAUGAAAUAGUAUAUAAAGGAAUAACACAAUUAAAUUCUGGCAUCUGUUUAAUUAGCUAGGACGCGCGCAUGCAUGUUGAAUUAAGUUGAUCAAGGCAGUCCACCUCCAAAACCACCACCAGCUCCACCACCAAAUCCCCCGCCAGCCCCUCCUAGUCCACCACCCGCACCGCCACCACCACCGCCACCCAACCCUCCUCCAGCACCCCCACCAGCACCAGCUCCAAAACCGCCACCAGCUCCCCCUCCAAAUCCAGAGCCGCCAN